CUUCCGGCGGGCCAAGCCGGCGUCGGAGGCGGGUAAGCGCGGCUGAGUGGGCGCUCCCCACGAGCUCGCGGAGACGCGCUGCCGGAUGCGGGUGUGGGAAGCACCGGGAAGACUUCCCGGAGAAGGACAGAACAGGAACACUUAGCUGUUCCUAGCAACUGGAUAUGGCUCUCUUCGACGAUGUGAAGGCACGUCCACCAGAUGGGACCUCUCACUUUUCUCGUUUCCAUGAUAACCAUUUGCCUUCUUUUCACACAGGUGCAGAAACUAAGGGUUAAGGAAUGAUGACCAUUUUUCCCUCCACAAAGAAUUCACAUCCGAGCUUAUCCUGGUGGAACCCUACAGGGCUGUUGGCUACCUAACAUUACCUUGCUGAGUUUUGGGAUCCUAACGUGGACGCCAGCACGCAAUCCUGUGCCAAGGUUCGAAGGGCAGGUCAGAAUGUAUCCUAGUCGCUCAUUCCACAUGAACUCCCAGCCUCGAGCUUGGAUUAAGCGUUCCACCUACAACAGUGAACAAAUGGAGUUCUUAAAUAUCCAUUUACUCAGUACAUCCAAACACUCAGUACAUCCUACACUGUUCUCUGUGUAGCUGACAUGCAGAGACGUGUACUGGAUGUUUGCCAUGAAUGAAAUUUAGGUUAAGUUGUAUUAUAAUGUCCUUAAUGGAAAAAGGCACUACUAUCAGAAUAUGAAAAUGGUCCAAUUAAAUUUGAUGAAACAUGUAAAGUACUGAAGGCAAUACCUAGAACAUACUAAACAUUCAAUGGAUGCUGUUACUAUUUUUCAUUUGAGAAUAAUAGAAUAUAGGUGUUCUCAGCAAGUAAGGCUGUGUUCAGGUUACUUAUGAACAUAGUUAUAUCCUAUACUGUCUCUAUACUUAGAAUAGCCAAGAGCACUGUUACAGAAGUUGGACUAUAAUUAGCGAUCCACAGACUUCCUAAACCAUCCUGGAUUGGGGAGGGAAGCAUAGGAACUUACUAGUAAAAGCAAAAAAAAAAAUAAAAUAAAAAAAAGUCACCAAUUCUUGGAAGCACUGCCCUGGUGGUUCCCACCCUCAAAGAGUGCCAUGAUCCUGAGAAAAAAUUAGCCCUUGGAAAUAACCAUAGUGUCUUCUGUCAAGAAUGAAAAAGUGAUUUCAUUUUAAUGAAUAUUCAGAAAUCUUGAUAACAUCUUACUUCUUUUAGUCCACGACAGAAUCGCUCAAAUACUCUUUUCAUAUUGCCUCCUUUUUCCAUAGAGAUUACCCUCGUGUGGUCUUCCUCAUUAAUCCAGAUGAGAAAUGUCUUGUCAUAAUUAUGCCUGAUGAAAAGAGAAAUAUGGUGUUGCUCGUUAAAUACAUUAGUUUCAACACAUGAAAAUUCCCUUUA